rnacentral:ncRNA from 1 species
UUUAAAUUUGAUUUUUGUUUUUAUAUUUGGCUUUAAGUUUGUAAUGCAUGUAAAUUUUUGUUAGUUAUUUUAUUCUUAAUGAUUAAUUUUUUAUUUUCAGUAUUUAAUUCUUUUAUUUUUAAUUAUUUAAUUUAGGCUAUACUUUUUAUAACUAAAAAAUGUUGUGCCAGCAUUUGCGGUUAUACAUCAAGUUAGAGUUAAUUUAUUUAGAUUUUAGUUUUUUAUUUUUUUUAUCUUGUAUUUGGGUGGAAUCUAUAUGAUUUUUUAUAGUUUAUUCUAAAUAAAUUUGGGUUUAAACCAGGAUUAGAUACCCUGUUAUUCAAAAUAAAGGUUUUAUGUUCUAAGGUAGUAUAUUUUAAUGAUUGAAAUUUAAUAGAUCUGGCGGUUUUUAAAUCUUUUUAGAGGAACCUGUUAUUUAAAUGAUAAUCCACGAUUUUUUUUACCUUCUCUUUCUUGUAUAUCGCUGUCGUUGAGUGUGAUGAAAAUUAAUUUUCCCUUUCUUCUUUUAGAAUUAUGUUAGGUCAAGAUGCAGUUAUGAUAGGGUUAUUAUGGGUUACUUUAAUUUUUGUUUGUGGAUAAAAUAAUUAAUUUUUUUUUGAAUUUGGAUUUAAUAGUAAUUUUAUUUAUUUAAUUUUAUGAAUUUAGCUCUUAAUUAUGUACAUAUCGCCCGUCACUCUCACAUAGUGAGAUAAGUCGUAACAAAGUAGAUGUACCGGAAGGUGUAUCUAGAAA